GCUCCCCGGCGGGGACACUCAGUCGCGUCGGCACCGCGGAGCGGGCUGCGUCAGGUGGCUGGCCGGCGCGGCGCUCCCCUGCUCUCUGGCUCCGGACUGCGGCGCGGCGGCUGGAGCGAGCCCCUGUCCCGGCGCGGGGCGGCGGCGGGCGGCCGGCAGGCGCUGCCUUGCGUGUGAGUGCACCUCACUCACAUGUGCUGGAGAAUCUGGUAAAAGCACCAUUGUGAAGCAGAUGAGGAUCCUGCAUGUUAAUGGGUUUAAUGGAGACAGUGAGAAGGCAACCAAAGUGCAGGACAUCAAAAACAACCUGAAAGAGGCGAUUGAAACCAUUGUGGCCGCCAUGAGCAACCUGGUGCCCCCCGUGGAGCUGGCCAACCCCGAGAACCAGUUCAGAGUGGACUACAUUCUGAGUGUGAUGAACGUGCCUGACUUUGACUUCCCUCCCGAAUUCUAUGAGCACGCCAAGGCUCUGUGGGAGGAUGAAGGAGUGCGUGCCUGCUACGAACGCUCCAACGAGUACCAGCUGAUUGACUGUGCCCAGUA
rnacentral:sRNA from 1 species